CUGUCUCAAUCCUGCAUUUCUGGGAAUGGUGAAGAAUGCGGCCUGGCCUCCUCCUGAGCUUGACAGAUGGAAUUCGUGUCUCUAAGAGAAAAGAGGCUGACCUCAACAGGUGGCAGCAAUUUCUUCAUAUUCCUUUAUGAAAGGAGCAGCCUGUCGUCGAUAGGAAUUAGAAUAACACAUUGAGCCUCCACCACACAUGCUGCGAGACACUCUGCCCCAAGUGUCUUCUCAUCUUGGUCUAAGCGGCCUCCACGCCAACACAUUACAUUAAAAUGCGCCACUUAGAGGGACAGGCUGGCCGUCCCUAGCGAUGUGCGUGGCCGGGGCCAGCUCUCCUAUUUCAGCAGUUCAGAUGGGGACAGCCUGUCUCCAGGAGCCUUCUCUGUCACCCAGCUCUCAAUGCUAUCUCCUCCUGGGUUCUCUGUCUCCGUCCGUCAUUUGGUAACUUAAUUAAAAUACAGUAAGAAGUACCGAGUCGCAGGCUUUGUCCUGAGAAUCCAGCAUGAGCCUCCUGGAACCGGUGAGGUCUGUUCUUCUGUGGCGUUUCCCGGGACUCUCCAUUCUGCACGUGGGAUCCUCGCUGUGUUGCCUUUCUCCUUGUGACAAAAUACAGAGGUAACUUAAAUGAAGAA